GGGGCCGUAGCUCAGCUGGGAGAGCGCCUGCUUUGCAAGCAGGAAGUCAGGGGUUCGAAUCCCCUCGGCUCCACCA
rnacentral:tRNA from 1 species